AACGGCCAUACCAUGCUGAAUAUACCGGUUCUCGUUAGAUCACCGAAGUCAAGCAUCAUUGGGCGUGGUCAGUACUUGUAUGGGUGACCACCUAGGAACACCGCGUGCCGUUG
rnacentral:rRNA from 1 species